UAUUGGCUUAGUUAGGAGGCAAAGAUUAAUGGAUCUUUUACUGGUCUUCUAGGGCCUUUUGAGGGGACUCUUGCUUCUUUGGAUCGAUUGUCCUCCAAGCAGCCUUAAGACAUAA